UUGAAAGUAAAAAGCGUAACAAGGUUUCCGUAGGUGAACCUGCGGAAGGAUCAUUA
rnacentral:rRNA from 1 species